GGAAUUUUCCGCAAUGGACGAAAGUCUGACGGAGCGACGCUGCGUGAAGGAUGACGGCCUGCGGGUUGUAAACUUCUUUUCUCGAAGAAGAAGCAAAUGACGGUAUUCGAGGAAUAAGCAUCGGCUAACUCUGUGCCAGCAGCCGCGGUAAGACAGAGGAUGCAAGUGUUAUUCGGAUUGAUUGGGCGUAAAGCGUCUGUAGGCUGUUUAGAAAGUCUUUUGUGAAAUACUUCGCCUCAACCGGGGUCCCGCAAAAGAAACUUCUAGACUUGAGGGAAGUAGAGGUACAGGGAAUUUCCGGUGGAGCGGUGAAAUGCGUAGAUAUCGGAAGGAACACCAAUAUGGCGAAGGCACUGUACUGGGCUUUUCCUGACGCUGAGAGACGAAAGCUAAAGGAGUGAUUAGGAUUAGAUACCCUAGUAAUUUUAGCCGUAAACGAUGGAAACUCACUGCCGAGCGAAAUUCGACGAGCGGUGGUCAAGCUAACGCGUGAAGUUUCCCGCCUGGGGAU
rnacentral:rRNA from 1 species